rnacentral:rRNA from 1 species
GACGAACGCUGGCGGCGUGCUUAACACAUGCAAGUCGAACGGAAAGGCCCUGCUUUUGUGGGGUGCUCGAGUGGCGAACGGGUGAGUAACACGUGAGUAACCUGCCCUUGACUUUGGGAUAACUUCAGGAAACUGGGGCUAAUACCGGAUAGGAGCUCCUGCUGCAUGGUGGGGGUUGGAAAGUUUCGGCGGUUGGGGAUGGACUCGCGGCUUAUCAGCUUGUUGGUGGGGUAGUGGCUUACCAAGGCUUUGACGGGUAGCCGGCCUGAGAGGGUGACCGGGCACAAUGGGACUGCGAGACGGCCCAGACUCCUACGGGAGGCAGCAGUGGGGAAUAUUGCACAAUGGGCGGAAGCCUGAUGCAGCAACGCCGCGUGCGGGAAGACGGCCUUCGGGUUGUAAACCGCUUUCGCCUGUGACGAAGCGUGAGUGACGGUAAUGGGUAAAGAAGCACCGGCUAACUACGUG